UAUUUUGGUGGCGACCGGCGCACGGGUGAGUAACGCGUAUGCAACCUACCCUGUACAGGGGGAUAGCCCGGAGAAAUUCGGAUUAAUACCCCAUAAAUAUAUUUGAAGGCAUCUUCAGAUAUUUAAAGUUUCGACGGUACGGGAUGGGCAUGCGUAACAUUAGCUAGUUGGUAAGGUAACGGCUUACCAAGGCUACGAUGUUUAGGGGUCCUGAGAGGGUGAUCCCCCACACUGGUACUGAGACACGGACCAG
rnacentral:rRNA from 1 species